rnacentral:lncRNA from 1 species
UCAAGAAAUAAGUCAAGAAAAGAAGCUAGUUCAAAGGCCAGGGAAGCAGUUGAAGGUGUUGAAUAUAGAGAUAUAAGUAAUGAGACAGAGGUUAAAGCAGUGCGGUAGAAAGUAAGGCAAGGCAGGAAAUCAAGAGUCGAAAGAAGCAAGCAAGGGCUCCGCUAUCGGUGCUAUUGAUCGGCUCUGCAUGUCUUUCCUACGAGGCGGGGGCUACCCUGGUCCCUUUAUUAGCAAAGAGUCAAUAAAAACAACGUGUAUAUCGGGCGGGCAGUUGGAUGUAUUGGGGGUAAAUAAAUGAUUCUAAGGAGCUUUUCCCAAGGGCAUGGUAGAAGUCAAUAUCAAAAAGGAAGUGCACCUCGAUUAGAUAAACAGGCUUAAGGAGAGAACCCCGCUUUUUUGUACAAUAUUCGCUUUUCUUCUUAAUGAAAUGGUCAUUGAACGCGAUUCCUUCUGUGCUUAGGUUCGAUACCGCUGAAACAUGGAAGAGUCUUAAUAAGAAAUCCAAAAGCAAGAUCAAAGAUUUCAUAAGGGUAAGAGAAGAGAGUUCCACAGUGGGGGCACGAAUGGGAUUGACUCGACUGCAGCCAACUGGAACUGUAGCGCUUGAGGCCAAUUUCCUUGAAUUGGAACAUUCAAAUCCGGUGGGGGGAAGAAAGAAAGCUGUGAUUACCUGGGUGUGUAGGAGAUGGAAUUCCUAUGCUCUGCUAUACACUGAGAUUAGUUACAACUGUUCUUUUUUCGUUCGAAUCUUUUCUUUCAACUGUGGAAGAUAGGGUCACCUGCCCUCUUUUAAAAGGAAGGGAAUAAGUAUUGGAUUCGGGCUGGGAAUCAUAGAAGCGAUGGUAUUCUCCACAAAAGGGCAAGUAUGCUAUCUUUCUUUUUUGUGUCAUAUCUAUAAGGGAUAUAAAACAUUCCCCGUGCAAGCAAGAGUUCAAGUAUAUUCCACCAUUCCAUUUUACCAAGUGAAACAUUUGCCCUCAACUAAUAACCUUUUGCAGAAAGCUAUGGUAGGUAGGAUAAUUAGAUGCCGUGACGACAUACCUUGGGAGUUUCUCUUUUAGCCUGAAAGUCCGUCUGAUAAAGCCUUCCUUAUUCCUGUUUCAUUAACUAUAUGUAUGGUUCGCUCUGGACCUAGACGUAGAAAAAACUCUAUGAAAAAAGCAAAAAGAGCUAUAAAUCGUAUUCUGCCUCCACCGGAUUUGAAUAAUAUGUUUUCUAUAGGGGAGUAUCCACAACAAACUGCAAUAAUACCCUACCGACAUUAGAUCCUGACUCUCAAAUACUGUAUUGCUGGUGUUCAUGCCGAGCCUGACUUUCCUGCCUAGCGUAGCGGGCUAUGUCCCGCGUAUAGUUCACCUACUACUACCAAUAUGAAUAAGAAAACGGAAUAAGAGGAAUGAUUGCUGUGGGCGCUGAGUCAGAAAGAAACUAGUAAGUAUAAGGUUAGGCCUACUUCAUUGGAAUUAGAACCACUCCACCUUGAGGAAGAAAUACAAGAAGAAAGAAUUGGACGGGCGCUUCUCAUAAUGAAACAAAGGCAUACAAGAUUGAAAUAAGAGCAAGGGAAGAAAAGUGGUACUAACAGGGCUCUCCUCUCCUACUAUAGAGGGCUAGACCAACCUCAUAACUGGCAUUCAAACUACUCACUGGAAAACGGACCUUUGCUCAUCAACUCCCGCUUCCAUGCUAACUAUCCUUGCUUUGGCGCUGGUACUUUCCCUUUAUGCCCUGGCUUUUCUUCUUUACUAUGAACUUAGGCUUUUCACUCCCGGCUCUUACCUCUUACCUGUGACAUUCUCCAAGUGUUCGAGUUUGGGUCUGUUACUACUGUCUUGCAUUCUUAGGCUUCUGACCUCAAAUCCUUAGUUGGCCAGGAAGAUGUUAGGCUCAUGAGUUCGAGAGCGUGAGUCCGCGUAGUAUCAAUCAGCACUAGUAGUAGGGUAUGCUCUAGCACAUCCAGGUAUCAGAGGAAACAAAAAAGAAUAUAGAACAACUGGAGCAGUAACCAAGCCUACCCUUGAGGAUUUAGCGCACAACACCAAGUACACCGCUACCUCCCCCUACCCUAAGUUACUAUGCGUGUUAUAUGCCAUACUAUGGUUUCAAUCAAGAGGUUUGUGUUGCGUGUAGCAAGGUAGAGGUUUUCAAUGACAAAUACAAAUGAGAGGUAUCGUUCGGGAAGGUCAGUUGGGAGGUGUAGUUCUUGAGGGUCAGUUUAGAGACGUAACACACGCUAUUCACUACUAAGGUUAUUCCUCUCCAGAAAGCGUAUUUUCUCCCUAUUGACUACAAAUACCCGGACAGGUGUUUGAUGAUCUAUACCCUUUCUGAGCACCGUUUCGAUACCAGCAAUAGUUUACUUUCCGAGCACCUAACGAGUAGUUCCCGUUUUAUACUUUCCUUUACUCAAUUGAUACGUGCAUUACUGAAGUUAUGAAGUGUAGAGUCACAGAGUGUAGAGUUUCGCUGUUUUGUUAGAUAGGAGCAGGAUCUGGAGAGGAAGCUUCAACAGUCUCAGGAGAACGAUCUGAAGCCGAAGAGAAUCCUAGCUCUUUCUUUUCGAAUUGCCAGAUUGCCCUCAUUUUAUAGCCCAACUCAAUCAAUAAGCUCGGUGAAGCUGUAACACCCAACAAGCUUACCUUACUUAGUAGAAUGAAGCGCGUUAGGAAAGUUCUCUUAGUUUAACCUAUGUUAAACGACUCGAGUACCUCUUCGCUAGCUUUAUUGCUGGCACCACACACCCUCUCUCUCAGAAUGAAGGAAAGGAAGAGGUGAUUCCAAGAUGAAGGAAAGGAAGAGGUGAUUCCAAAGCAGUUGAAAGGUGGAGUUAUAGUGUUGGCGACGAGUGUUAUUUGCUUUUAGUAGGAGUAGGAUCACAAGCAAUUACUUACUUGGAAGUCAUAAGUACUGAAUACGAAUACGAGUAUGUAGCAAGCGGGUAAACAAGCAUCAAAGAAUCCGCAGCGCCUAUAUCUGAAGCUGAUGCGGUGCAAGUUAAUGAUGUGUUUGUUGGCACCGGGAGAGAAAGAGAACAAUCAGAGAAGCAAGAUCAGUUCAAGUUCCUUACCGCUACGUGGGCAACUAAGAACAUGGGUCUUACACGCAAAAUCAAAGGAAAAACGGAAAGGGAUAUACUAUGGUCUCUGGGAGUGAGGGCGAUCCGAAAGCGCCUCCAUCCUAAUAUUUAGGACUUAGAACCACUUAAAGGGUUUGUUUGCUGUCAACUUUCCUCUAAGGUGAACCAACCCGACUCGAAUAGCUUAUUUGCUUGGCGCUAAAGAAGAAGGAAUAGGUGUUUAGUUACUUUAUCCUAUUCUAUAAGAUGACUUUCUCCUAUUAUAUAAGAAAGAUGUUGUUAACUUUGACUCUUUUCUUUCGAACAAGCAACUGCGCUAAGCAAGACUCUGCUUUCUGGCGUCAAUGAAUUCUUUGUUCGGUGUUGGCGCAAGUUCCGUUUUCCGCAGCUGACUCUAUCGCUGACCUUAUUGGAGUUUCGGAGUUUGCCGGAACAAGUACUUGAGUCUAAGAUUCGCCUACCCAUAGUCUUUUCUUCAGUACGGUCCGGGGUCAUGCUAUUAGUUUAGUUGUCGUGCAUAUUCAUUUCCAUUUCUUUCUUUAGAAUCAGCAGUCGUCAUAUGCGCACUUAGAUAUUCUUUCACUAACACACAAACAACGGCGACUACAAGAUUUGCAUUAGCAAGAAAGAGGAUGAUCAGUAUUUGCCAAGAGGGUGAGAAGCAGAGGUCUUCUUAAAGCAAACAAGAAAAUCAAGGCAAGCUUAGGCCAAGCAACGGCGCGCCAAGCAACUACGUUACCAACAACAAUAGCACUACUCACUUUUCUUCUAAGACCACUGAUACACUAACAGCAAGAUCCAUGCUCCACUACUCCAUCCUGUAUGUACCAAUCCAAAUAUUAUGCUGCGCUAGAUCAUACCCUCAUACUAAUAAGAAUCAUAGAAGGUGGAGGCAGGCUCAAGGACAAGCAGAUGGAUUUUCCAUUAGGGUUUGGUGAACAUUAGCAGCCCUUCAUUCUUAUACCACUUUAGUCCAUUCAGUCCUAGUCCCAGCAAGGUUCCAGCGUAAGUGUGUUAUUCCUGUAUGCGCUAGCUCGUACCUUAGUUCACUGAUACUAAAACAAUAGGUAUGUUAAGUUGGAGUAACUAGAAUAGAUAUGGAAGCAUGAGAUAGGGCAACGGGAGACUCUAAGACAGGAAUAUAAGGCAAAAAGCUAGUAUUGGACAAGCGGUAGUGGACAAGCGGGAAUAAAGGCUUACCCAUAUUCUUAUACUGUUGAGUUUGGUUCUAUCAUAGUAAAACACAUAUCGGUAUGGAGUUGCAGAAUUCAAGCCGGGAGCGGUGGGCUAAGCCUAACAAGCAAGACGCAGGGGGGAGCAAGUAAAAGAAUGCAGUUAAUAAGUUACGAGAAUUGCAGAAGUAAGUCAAAGAAUGAGAUGCAGCAGAAUGAGAAGUUUCCGAUAGAUUGGAUAGUAAGGCUCCGGAUCAGUGAAGGAAGUAUGAUAAGCCCUUGAUCCAUUCUUUUUAUCAGUGUUUUCAUUCUCAGUAUUGUUUAUUGAAACUAGUAGGCAGGAAAGGAAGCCUCAUAGUGGAAAUCAAGCUUUAAGGCAAUGGAUUUCAGAGUUCAAGCAAGGAAUUUGUUACCGAAUAGGUGUGUCAAGGGGGAAGGCUCAUUAGUGGUAUUUCAAUUACUCGUCUUUUGUUUCAGUCUCAUUGGGCAGGUAGUAAUUCUGGAGUUUCCCUUGUUAGCGGCAGCUCGAGCCUUUGCUGUAGUUGGCUUUCCAGUUCCCCGUUCAGAUCUUCUCAGUAGUGGUUCCAUUCUUUUAGUUAGUAGAUCAUACCCCGAGUUGAGGAAUGCGAUACAGUAGUUAAGGCAUGAAAGCAAGGAGCUACAGAACUAAGAGAAGAGGCCACAAGGCUGUGAAGCUAACGACUUAACCUAGCAAGCAAUACCUUAAGGCGGGAUCAAAAGAGUGAUAGAGGGGAGUUUCCGAUUGAGAGGCAGGCACUUAACGGCGGGAAUGGCUGUUUGAUACACGCCUCUAAUAAACUAAGCUACAUCAUAGGGAUUUGAGGAUCCAGUAAGGGAAUGAGCCAAGCAAGUAUUUGUCUAGGAGCUAGACUGCCAGAAGGGGAACGCGCCCAGGAGGAUAAGAAUUUGGGUAAGGAGCCUAAGAGUGAAAGGCGUUAGUCAGGGAAUGGGAGUAAGGGGAAGUAACUCCAAGGCGGGUAUAAGUUAUCAAGUAAGUAGUUUGGGGCUAAGGUAAGUAAAGCAAGGAUCCGACUCAGUAGUUACAACCUUAUAGGAAGUAGAGACAGACUCGAACUAAUAGGCAGGGAUGCGCCAACAAGUCGCUACUAGCAUCAAAGCCAGGACAGUCCGACCUAUAGCCAGGAAGGUAAGCUUUUAGGUCAGUAGUUCAAGUCUAGUGGGCAAUGUUUUCAUCGUAGUUGGGGCACUGUUCCAUUCUUUCAGUACAGCAGCUAAGUCCUAUGAGCAGUAUUCGGAUUCUUUUACUUAUUUCCUAAAUUCCUAAUUCCGAGUACUAUAAGGAGUAGGCGCAUACACUAACAAUACAAGUAAGGCUCCCCAAUGCUUUAGGUUAGGAAAGAAAGUAUGGAGCUACGUACUGAAAGGCUUACCUAUAUUCUCAAAAUACCGAGGUUGUUUCUAUGUUCUAUACUCUAGACUUUGUCCCUACUUUCGAUUCUUGUUAUCCAGAGUUUGGUUCUAUUGCUUGUAUGCGCUAGUCCAAUUACUUAUUACUAAGAGAAAAGAUCCGGAUCAGCUGUUAAGGAGUUCAAGUAAGCAAAGGCAGGCUAAGAAGCCGCAGUGAAAAGUCUGUUUGCCGGUAGCCGGAUUUCUUUAUUCUAAGUGAAAAGAAUCGAUAUCACUAGGUCACAACGAUCUACAAAAAAGUAAUGCGAAAGAAGCCCACAGACCCACUAUUCUUUCCUACCUCAGACCUAAAAACGGAGAAAUAGAUAUAGGGUGGCCUCGCCUUGGAAAAGGCUAAACUCGGUUCUUACUUAAUGGAUCUUUACGGGCUUAGUUACGGGGCAAUCUUCUUUUUUGUGAACCCUUUGAAAUUAGCUUAAUGAACUCUCAUUUUUCUCCCGUAGUCCUUACAUCAAAGUAUGAUGAAAAAGCUUUCCCUACAUCGGAUAUUUUUUGUCCAUCUACGAAUUCACCCUUUUUUCUGACCUUUACGUUUUGCUCCAGAAGAUCUUAUUCUCGUGUUUCCAAGUAAUAAGGUAUUACCUGAUGAUGACUCAGCCGAAGGUUCCCGCGGUUUGGAAUGAGCUUCUGCGCCAGAAGCCCCCGAAUCCGCCCCAGCAGGUAACACCAUAUUCCCCAGAUAGUGUCCUCAGCUGUUGGUCCCGGCUAGCGGCAUUAGUUGGUUCCUUCUUGGCCCGAGCAUAGCACGAGUCCGGGCAAAGGCUUAAAGGCAUGAUUAGUUCCACGAAUCUCACUGCCCUAAAGAAAUGUUGGAUUUUGGUUAGUGCAUGUUUUUGUGGCCACCCGCCGACUGAAGACAUCCUUACCGAGCUGGAGCAGGCAAUGGGUAAUUGGGUAGAGGAAGUCGAUCUCCCAAAGGCGCAGCCUAAUGACUCAACUUCCGGAUCUUUUUCUAAAACAACAUGACUCCUGGAUUGUAUCAAGUCAAAUAAGCGUAGUGGCAGCACCUUCUUCUUUCAGAAUAGCCAAUUCAUUUAAGAUUAUGAUUAUGCGCGGUACCUUUUAUUAAGCCAAGGCCCUGCGCUGUGAUACCCAGAAAAAGAUGACUGGUUUCCUUGCCCCUUUGCCCCUUGACAAAUCUUUUUCCCGAGAGUUCUAAGACAAGUACUUUUCAAUAAAUCUCUUUCGCUUGUUUAGGCGAGUAGAGUAUACCGGCCUACACUUAAAUAAUCAAACUCAAACAAAGUACUCAAAAAGUCAUAAGUAAUAAGGGGAAAAGACUCUGUAGUCAAACUCAUAGCAUGGGGGGAAAAGACUCAGUAGUAAAACUCAUAGCAUAGAGGGUUAUAGUAACACCUCCUGAUUCACCAAACAAAACGAUUCCUCAGAUGUUGAUCCAGAGGUUUCAUCAUGCAUGAUAACGGUGGGCCGAAAAGCAAAAAGAAAGGCGAACUUCCCCGAUUCCUGUUCUCAAGCCGAGAGAAGGAAGAAUGCACACUUCAAUACCAUAAUAGAGUUGCUUUAAGAUUUCGAGAUUAGCGAUAGCAACGCUAUUAAAGAGAAAGGGAAGGCUGAUAAAGAGAAAGGGAAGGCGCAGAGGCAGCAUAAGCAUGGAACCGGUAGAGAGAUACUCAAAUCAACUUCUUAUUAAUAAACAGACAUUCUAAUUAGAACAUCGUGCCUUUUAAAGACAGCAACAAUGCGUCUCUUAAGUCUCGAGCUAAUCUACUAUUUAUUAGAUUUGCCAAAUGGAACCACUAUUUAUUAGAUUUGGAUAGUUGGUCCUUCCUUCUAUUAGAUUUGGAUAGUUGGUCCUUCCUUCCGAUCCGGACGAAAACGAACGGCCGGUAGAUCAAGAAACGUAGACAAUGGGAGCGAGUAAUCAACCACCGCCUCAGUAUACCACUUUACAUACUCGACACAAUAAAUAGGAUCCAAUUCCUUAGAAUCCACUUCUUGUCGAGCCUGGGAUCAAUGUCCGUCGCCAAUCGUUCGACGUACGACCAAUAAGGUUUACAGGCGUCAACGAUAAGAGCGCAAACGGAAACUCAGUCAUAUAAGUAUAAGAAUGGAAAGUUGUAUACUAAGAAUAGGUCAUCUCCUAGCGCAUAAGGCUCUUUACCGACCCACACGAAACUAUCAAGUCAGAAUUGCACUCCUUAUAGCCGACCUACAACUCUGAAUGGCAACUACUUAUACCAACGAAUUCCACUCUUUAUAGCUUGCAGACCUUCUCGCCCAGCCAGAACUGCUUAGGAUCCUGUUGUGCACUAUCUGGGAAUUGCUCAUGACCUAGUUGGAAUGGCCCUUGGUCGGAUGCUGACUCGGUCACUUUGAGAAAGUCAGCGGGGACUCCGUUUGCCAUGUAUCCUCUUGCUAUCGCGAGGACGAAUGAGUGGCUGUGCUGGCCGCAUUGCAUCAGAGGUUAAGGUUGCUCAAAUGCAUUUGAAGGAUAUAGAAGUGUCGGUCAAGUAGUUGUUUAGAGGAAAGAAAGAAAGAUGACGCCUACGAAGCAAGCGCAUCUAUUGUGUAGCUGAAGAUGUCGAUUAAGCUCUACUUGCUCAUAACUAACUAACGUGAGAACUAGCUGCCCUGCUGCGCAACACCUGUUUUGUUCUGACUUUCCUGUUAGUAGUUGCUUUUUGCAGGGGAGAUAGGAUUGAAUCUUGAAUAACAAUUUGAGACCUAUUGCUACUAUUAACUUCAUGAUGAAACUAGUAGUAGCGUGGUGAGUAGUUACUUGUCUAUACUAAGCUUGUCUAGUUACUUGUCUAGUCGUUGCUUGGCGGUCAUUAGUAGUUGCUUGGUGGCUUGAACAACUAUACUAACUAUCAGACACAAACUGGAAACUUGGAAUGAAACGCUAGUAGCGGGAGAAUAGAAGUAAGGAGAGAUAGGCUACUUCUGACUUUGACUCUUAUAGUGGCCCCUUGAAUCCCUAUUCUAUUGUUUUAGUAUGCCCUUACUUAACUGCUCUCUUUAGCUGUAGUUGCAAACUUUCACUACUCUCUGGUAUUCCUACUGUGAUUCCUAGUUGCCGAGUUUCUUUCUUUAGUUGUUGCUUUAGUCUCAUGCCCUAGAUCAUACUACCAUUACUAGAUAAUACAACCAUUAUUAUACUCUUUAUUAUAUUAUUAGAUUCGCGGUAGACUUAGAUAAGGGAAUAACAGGAUAAGAGCCAGGGUCAUCAGACUUAUAGCCAGGAGAGUAAGAGACUAUAGGUUUAUGUAAAAGAAUAAGAAGAAGGAGUUAGUAGUGCAAGGGUUGUAUAGGGAGUGAAAACAGAGAGAAGGAAUGAAAGGUGUAUAGGAGGUGCGAAGAGAGUGGAUUUCCUAGCAGUUAGUGGGAUUCUCAUUCGUUUUGGUAUGAUUCCCCCUGUUUCUAGGUUUAGUCAGCACUAGUUCCAAUCUGAUACCGACUACACUCACCUAAGGAGUAGUAGAAUCAAAGUCAGCAGUGGCAGGCCCAUAGAGCUAAUAAGGUAGGUCGGAUUAGGUGCACCUAGCAGUAAGGCGGAUAAGCAGUCAAGUCAGACUUAAGGAAUAGAUAGUCAAACUAAUAGAAAGGAGGUCAAGUUACAGCAACAAUAGAUAAGGAGCUGCAGAGUGAGAAGCGUCCCCAGCUUUUAGUUCAGUAAAGAAAGGGCCAAGCAACAGUACUAGAGCCAUAGGUAUAGUACAAGAGGUAUACAAUGAGGUCAAAGAGGUGGACAACAGUUAUUAAAGAUGAAAUCCUAUCCCCCCGAGGUAUCCAAUUGUUAUACCGGUCUGAAACUAAUACUAUAUAACAAACCGGUCUUAUACUAAUAAUCAUAAGGGAGUAGCUUGUUGGCUCGAUCAAGGCACCGGACUAAAGUAGUUGCUAAGUUACUUGUCGGAUACUUUACUUCGAGUAGAAAGAAUUCAAUGGAAUAUAGUGUAUAGACAGGGUAGGUCAUAUUUGUAUAGACAGGAUAGGUAAUAUUCCUAGUCUGCUGUACGAGUUUCAUCGUAUAAAGAUACAGAAUUGCAGAUUGAAUACUUAGAGGAAGUAUUUCUUAUAAGUGCAGCAGCGAUAGAAUCCGCAUCAGCAGUUCGGGGAAAGUAUCCAGUAGCAAGUCCAGGACCCGUGUUUGUUAGCGUAGAGAAUGGCCUGUCAGGAUGAAGAGCAGAAAUGGCUGUUUGACUCUAAGCUCCAACAAGUGGUAGAUCACCAGAUUCCCAUUAACGAGUUCCCAAUUGCCCUAAGGUACUGCAGUUUGCUUCAUCUAGAAAGUCCGUGAACCUUGAUUUAGAGUCGUUGAAAUAUGGUAAACAAAGAUUAUCAACAAGUAACUAUGGGUUCCCUUAUUGCUCUUAAAGAAAAUGCUUUUUAGUCUAGAAAGAUAGACCAGAGAGUAGUUUCCCUUCAAGUCCUUUCUUCAGGAGCCCUGUUGCCCAGGAGUGGUUAGUGACUUCAAACUGGAAUAACAGCUAUAGUCAAUAAAUAAGGGAUAGAUCUAGCGCAUCCUGUAUAAGAAAAGUAAGCUCUUGUAUAAGACAAUAGUACUCUAUGUGCUAAGGUUAGCUAGGAGUGGCUUGUCUACUUGGCCGUUACUUGGCGGGUGAAAGGCCUUUGUUUUGUCCGUGAGGUUUCAAUCUUAUUGCGGAGUAAUUUAGUUAAGCUUUAUAUUAUAUUCGAGUCUAUUCGAGUUCGAGCAGUCAAUCGAGUACUAUAUGUAUUUCAAACCGGGGGAAGUUUCUACAGAAAAAGUGAGCUUAGACUUGAAACUUGUUUGAGUGAAAGUACUUUAGGUACCAUGCAUGCCGCCGCUGUAAAAGAAAGAAGCUUGGGGUUGGUCGGUGUUUUUGCUUUUCCGACAUAUUAGUAGUAGUUGUUAGCCUUGCUGUAUUCUGUAUUUCUAGUUGAAUGAAGUUACUACCCCGGGAGUUGGAGUAAAGUACUUUUCUAACUGCUUCCUUUCUUCUGAACUGCUAGUGGGCUUAGUAGCCUAAGAUGGAUCAUUAGAUGCUGGAUCCAAGAAAGGAACUCCGGUAUGUCUGCUUGCCUGAUUCCACUAGAAAAGGACCUUCAACUUAAUGCUCUUUUCACUGACAGGACUCGUUGCGCCAAAUACAUUUAGUAGUUGCUGAUUCUGGCCUUUGCGUUACUACCUAUCUCGGACAUGUUCUCUAUUUCCUACCAAGGAAGCCGGGAGUGAAGAAUCGAUUGAGGUGAAGUCGUCCGCCUAACACUCCUUCCUUUAAGAAGAGAGGCCAAGCGACAGUACUAGACCCCUGAUCCCCCGCUUCUAGUUGUAUUGGAAUUAUUUGACUACCUUGUUUCAUUCUUGUCCUGACUAUUGGAAUUCUUUGCCAGUAGUUGAUAGUUGAUAGUUGCAUUCUUUGGAAUAGGUAGGGCAGGAUCGAAAGCUGCAGAUGGCAAGUUGACUCGAGAAGCAUAUGUUCUUAGGCUUAAAUGAAUUUCUACAGCCGAUAAGUGGGUUUAAUAGGUCAUUUGCCAUUAACUACGUUUCACCUCUGUUCAAGGACUAUAAAUCUAAGGGCGCAUAGAGUCUAUGAUAGAGUUGAUUGUGUUGCAGUAGCUUUAUAAGUAGGUUAUUCUAUUGCAGUUCUUUUCUGGUUGUGUAAACUAGAGAAUCAGCCGAAGCUUGAUCAGGAUCUGCAAGCGGAAAAGAGAGUUACGUUCAAUUGUCAGCGCGUUGUGUUUCUGUUAGAUGAAACUAGAACAGAAAUAGACUCUACAAGUAAAGAUGUGUUUGAUAGUGACUUUCGAACUGCUGCGGACUCUUCUGUUAGGUCUGUACCUGCGCAAACUCCUGAUCCAUACUAUGAUCCCGCUUAUUCUCUUUAUUCAGGCCUUCUCUUGUUCUGUCAACAACUUUACAGUUAGCCUUGUUAACCAACCGGGGGGGACAGUAAUCUUUCUCUUACUCUUAUUACCGCUACGGGGUUCUAUACUCUAUAGCAUUUGCAUCUUUUACUUGCAGAAAGAGACUCGUCGACAACACUUGCACUUUCAACCGUGUACUCGGCAUCUACUGCUCUUUCGAGCUCCCUAUCGCCUCAAACUGGACUUGGGAAAUACAGAAAGUUAAGGCAGAUUUGAAGAAUGGAAUGGAAUUGAACUGGAAAGUGGACGAGAGAGAAAGAGGAAACUGGAAAGUGGACGAGAGAGAAAGAGGAAUAAGUGUCCAGAUGUGCUAGAUCCAUCCUUCUUUCUUAUCUGCUAUGCUAGAGCAAUUAUGUACUACGGCCCUCUUCUAUAAAGUAGAAAGUGUCAUCGUACUAAGAAUCAGAGGCUUAAGUUAGCUGUGCGGGUGCAGUUCCCCAAAUAGUACUUGAACCUCUCGCGCCCUCUUGCAAAUACAGAUACUGUCCUGUGGAAUCAGUAGUAGUUGUGACAGAGCUUAUUUUCCCGUGUCAGCUCUCCCGUGUUGUUAGCCUCGUUUCUUGUUUGGUCGUCUCUACUAGAGCUUGUUUUUUGGUCGGUGUUUAUUAGUGUGUUUCUUCCGUUUGUGUGAUGAAGCUAAGUGUGUUUCUUCGGUGAGUUUCUUUUCGAAGAUAAUUGGACUAAGAGAAUAUCUAAAAUCAAAUAAUAUAAGAUAACUUCUUCAGAGAAUAGCUAAGAUAAUAUAAGAAAAGAGAAUCGCUAAGAUAAUAUAAGAUAACUUCAAAAGAAAGGGAGAAAAAGAAAAGAAAGAGGAUUGGAACCUAUACGACAGAUAGAAAGCCAUAGAGGAAUGCGCAGAUAGAAAGCAAUAGCUGUGUGGGACUCAGUGAAGAAUGGAACGGCGUAGUCACAGAAUCAAAUCACUAUUAUUCGAAUUCAAACAUUAUUCUCUUAUGUUGUGUAUCAAAUGCUUUCUUUAUUUGCGGGCUGAGACUACACAGGGGUAUAGACCGAUGCUAGUAGUACCUGGUCCUUGUCUUCAUUAACUUGAUUUUGAGCUCAUCAUAGGAUCUCGUUGACAAUCCCCCAAUAGUCGGUAUAAAGAGAUCCGGUAGCCAUUGAAGGGUAACGAUCAACUACUAUGAGUUCUUUGGCCAUUUUCGAUCGAACAGUUGUAGCCUACCGUAGGGAAGAAGGUCUCAGAUCUCAGUAGUUCUGUAAAAAACCUAUUUUGUGAAACCAGUUCCUGUAAUCCGAUGGUCGAAGAAGCGCUCCUACCCCCUAUCAUGGAAAACUAUCCAAAAUGACAACUCACCCCUUCCUUAUAUGAAAGAAGUACAGUCCUGCUCUUUCACUGUGCUACUUCAUACCCUAUCAUAGCCAUCCUAGCCCGAAUGGAAUCCCAUCAUGGGUUAAAGCGCAAUCACAACUGUCGAAUUGAGUGCGGAAAGGGGUUCGCAUGCUUUAUGCCUUUCCUUCUGACUUUCCUUAGCUAGGAAGGGAAUCUUCGGAUGCAAGGUGAUUCAUCUUCGGAUUCUUCCAAGUUGCCCCCCCAGAUGAAAGAGAAUUCCGCUGAGUGAAACUGUCCCAACCCCGCUCAUUCCGAAUGCUGUUUCCCAAUAGGUUGAAAAGUCCCGUCAGUACGUCCCUUUUUCCAGUAGCUUUAAAUCAAAGAGUCCUCGAAAGAAAAGGUUUAGGGAGAGAUCUUUCAGGCUUCUGCUUCCGUGCCUAAACGUUCAGGGUGCUUGUUGGCGCUUUCUGAGUAAGUCAGCCUUAUUUUAUAUCAUAUCAAAGCGAAAGGGCUUGUAACACAGGUCGUCUUUGGCUCGUCUCCUUCCGCAAUACGCAUCUGGUAGCAGCCCGCGCUAUAGGUAUAUACAACAAAGAGAAGUCUAUCGUUCGGAUACUAGUUCUUGAUGGCGAGGUUACCUUCUUGAGCGCCCGAGUAUCAAUGCUUCAUCUAAUCGUUGGCUCCCGCUUCUUCUGGAGGAUGGGCUCCCCAGAUAGGGAAAACUGCCUUGGAGGCUGGGGCCUCACCGAGUUCCUGAAAUUCUUUCCUGAGCGAAACCAAACCCCUUAACUAAUAGAUGCUAGUUUGGGGGCCAUCUGCUUACCCACCCUCAUGGAGAAAGACCCUGGGCAAAAACCCAUGGAUGGAAAGUUCUUCUUCCUUUCUCAAAGCUCAUAGAAAGAAAUUCAUAAAUAAAGCAAAGCCUGAUAGAAAGAAAUUCAUAAAUAAAGCCUGUACGACCUGUGAACCAAAACACUUUAGCACGACUGGACUAUUUGAAUUGGAUAUUUUAUACCUGUGUGAACCAAAACACUUUAGCACGACUGGCUUUCUAUCGACCCAUAAUUUGCGCGGCGAUAGUGGCUGGCAUCUUCCGGGUAUCGAUUAAGGUUAUUCGGGGGAAGUCUUUACUCCUAGACUAAUGGAGUGAAUUCUGUCCCGUCUCACAGGUAGCGGCUGGUGUCAAGUAAGCAAACUACGUCUUACUCAGAAGGCUUCCACCAUUGAAGACUUGCCGAGGAGACCUAACUCAAGGAAUAAGGGAGAAUUAGAUUGGAGUAUAUGAGUUCCGAGUCAAGAGCCCGACCAUGAUAUACAAGGUUAGUUAUUAAGUCCGAGCCUAGCGUCGUGGGCACCUUCCUCUUGGAUCCGAGUCUUAGAAAUCCACAAUAUGUUAACAUUCUUUAUUUCUUAGAAAUCCCAAUAUGUUGAAAUCCCAAUAUGUUACAUUCCUUAUUGCUGCUCAUUUUAUCUAUGAUCUAUAAAUCCAAUAAGUAGAAUCUCAAUCUCGAUAAGACCUAUACGACUUGUGGGGAGAAAUGUUAACCACCAAAAAGAAAGGGAGUUGUAUACUUUUGGAUCAAAAGCCUCCUUAUUAAUAAGUACCACCUGCUUAGAGUGCCUGUUACUGUGGAAGGAACCGGCUGUCAGUCUUGGAUUCACUGGUUUGAUUCCUUAUUGGGCGCUAAAGCCUGUAUUUCGAGGAUUCCUACUUUUGAGUUUCAUUCCGAUAUUGUAUUGGUAUUGGUAUCCUGACUAAACAUACUUAUAUAUAAGAACAGAAUCAUUAGCGGUAGACUCCAAAUACAAGUAAGCAGCGCCAGUUGGAUACCUUUCUUCCUAGGAGUAGAAGAACGCAGGGGACGGUUCAGACUUAUAGUAUAGACAGGAGAGAUAGUUUGAAGCUAACGAUUGAUUGACAGCUUGAUACACAGUAGAGACAUGCCCAGUAGUAGGGAAUUCGUACUUUAGCCAUGGAGUAGCGGACUAGCACAAGAGAGUCUGAGUCUCGCUAAUGGGGGGUGGUCUCAAAAGUGAACAUACGAUUUCGCUUCCGUAGUAACAGAGUGAAAGGCGAGAUGGGAGAAACCUAUUUCUUUUGUCAGGUAGUAAGAAUUAGAGCCGGGAGACAAGGGCUUUGACUGCUCGGUUCGGUUCUCUCCUUUGAGUUGAAGUCCCUAGUUCCAUUUCUGUAUUUAUAGCUCAACUCUUAUUAUAAUAAAGAGGAAUCAGACUUAGCUAAAAGAGAGACAGGCCCAACUCCUAAGAAGUCAGAAUCAAAAGAAUACGUGUGAGGAUCAUAUACUGGUUUGCAAAUAAGUAGUUUCGGAGUGAAAGAAGCGAGUCAGAUACUUAAGUAUGGGAAUGCCAGUUUUGAUCUACAAAAAUAGAAGAGCUAGCAAAUGGUAGUGACAGGUCCGUUUUCAGAAUUUCCCGAGUGGAACAUAAAGGGGCAAGUCCCAUUUAGGUCCCGUAGUGAAAGCCCCGGAAGCAGUGGUAUCGGUUUUGUCAGUUCAAGUUUCAUUCCUUUCCUCUAGUAUCCAUAUUCUUUUGAGGGAUUUCAUUCUGAUAGUAAGUAGUUACUGUCUAACGACUUGACAAUAACGAUAAAAAGAAGAAACCUACUGAUAGUAAGCAUAGGGCAAAAAGAAGAAACCUACUGAUAGUAAGCAUAGGGCUCGGUACUAGUAGACAUAGGGCUCGGAGCUCAGACUUUGACACUGCCCCAGCAAAGCAGUAAUAUCAUAAACUAGGAAUGACACUGCUGGAACCGAUCGAAUGAACUAUAGUACUACUGGGAAUCCGGCUUAACCACAAGAAAGGGAAUGAAAGAAGGGAAGAACCGCUCGCUACCGUUUAGCUCAACUCCCGAAAGCAUCUAUUGUAAUAACUUCGUUAUGACUGUUAUUGGCUGCCGCUAUUAUAGCUCGCUGACGCGACACAUUAGCAGCAAAACAGUACUGCCGCUCUUUUCACUCGCUACCGCGCAACAUUAGUAGUUGCUUGGUCGAACACAUAGCUUGUUUAUAACUUGUUAUGACAUAUCUAUGCUGUUGCUGCCGCGCAGCGGCUUGCUUAGUUGCUUUGCCCUUGGCGUCUAGUAGUUACUUGGCCGCCUAGAUCGGCUUGGUCAUUAGUAGUUCCUUGGUGGCUCGAACUUCUACUAGUCAGAACCUAACAGAAGGGGGCGGUAAUCAAACAUGAGUUCUGAAUACGUUCAAUGUGGGGCGCAGUAUCAGCCUUGUAGUUGGACAUAUAAAGAAUUGGGAUCUUUGUAGCGCAUCCAAGAAUGGUAGAAGAAUCAAUCCGUAAAUACAGAAUUCUAGUAGUAACUCCUCUAAUGGAGUGGGAUGGAGCUGACUCAGAAGUAAGAAUGGCUGUACCUAUGAAAAAGUGCUUCUUUUGUGAGCCAAUACAGUGUACCGGGCAUAGCUCUAAGGCAUUGAAAUAGUAAAUACACAGAAUGCAAUGAUAGAGUAGUGAUAUUAAGCAUAGGUACGAUCUAGGGCAUACAGGAAUAUAAGGUGUUCAAUGCAGAAUGGCGGGCCGGGGAAAUACUUAGUUUGAGUAAAGGCAUACUGAGAUGUAGCAGUGGCAAGCUAAGAGAAGGGAAUGGCAGAUCAAAACUCGAAAGUCAGUAGUAAGGUUAGGGCCUAGACUCAGAUGUGGUGUAGUAGUAGCGGAGCAAUAAGUUAGUUGUUGAGAGAUCGCCACUCUUGUAAGCCCAUGUUUCCGUCCUGUUGGUAUGAGCUCAACUCUGGUUAUCAGUAGGCGCAUUCCCAGUUGUUGCUAGUUCAGCUCUCGUCGAGGGUAGUUCCAUUCUUCCUAUUAUUAGUGAAAAUCUUGAUAUCCGUAGUUAUGUCCCUUCCCUAGAGAUGGAUCAGUUAUGGCAUUGUUCAAAGCUGGUACUAUACACUUGUAUUCUUUGUAAGGAGUCGACGCCCUUAUAGUCAGCUAAAGGAUGAAGGUAAAGAUCGGUAUACUUUAAAUAAGAAGAGGCAGACCAAUAGCCAUGAUAGUCAGAAUGCCAGGUAUAGAAGUCAGAGUCAAAAGCAAGGUGGACUGGCUUGGUUUACUUAGUUCCAAUUCUUGGAUUUUGGAUUAGUUUGGAUUGCAUUCCGAGAGGCGGUAUUAUCACCUUAUAGUUUGUAUUAGUGGGUAUGAGUUUAGUUUGAUUCUAUUGCUUUAUACGCUAUAUCACAUAGUGUACUUCCGACAUUGACUAAAGAAUUCCAGAAGCCAUUAUAAGAUUUGAACUAGCAAACAGAAGAAUGCUAGUAUAGAGUUUCAGAACGAGAAACCGUAGCUGAAGAGUGAAAGGUAAAAUACAUAAUUGUAGUAAAGCUUAGCUAAGGGACCGGUAGGCUUAUAAGCAGUAGCUCACCUCUUAUUGUCAUUGCCCCUGUUGCUUGGUUCAUUAGUAGAAGCGGUAUUUCCUUUCUGACUUAUUAUAGUAAAGGAAUCGGAUUUGGAUGCAAGUAAGUCAGAUUUAGAUGCCAGGGUUCUCUUCUUUGUAUUAGUAAUUCGAGUAUGUUAGCACGACAUUCCACUCUUUCUUUCUUCCCCUGCCCUCCGUAGGAGGAUUUCUUUCUUUCUUAUGAGACCCCUCUGACCUGGCUACCCUGACCUGGCUACCCUGACCUGGCAAACUUUCAUUCUCACUUGAGAGUUGAUUUCUGACUUCUCUUCUACCUCUGUCAGCUGCCAAGCGACUACUAGUAAAGGAGUUAGGAGUGAAAGGCCAAGCAACUAUGAACUAGUACUACCUGUCUGAAACUCUAUCUCGACCAGGAACUGUAAACUUUCAUUCAACUAGUAGAGGUAUUAAUCAAAGGUAUAAAUUCCCUGAUCCCACUCCUUACCUUCCCUCACUUAUGAACUGGAACACCGGAUUUAGAACUUGCUUCUUUACUUGCUUAUAGUGGAUAGUGGAAUAGGAACUUGCUUCUUUACUUGCUUAUAGUGGAUAGUGGAAUAGGGAAUAAGUGCGAACUGACUCUGAUCUGUAUUCGGAGUCUGAUCCGGAUUAUGCUUAGGCUGACUUAGCGGGGGCUGCUGACUUUCCUACAAAGCUCAUGGGCGAACACCCUAAUUUGGAUGGACUUGAGACCCUUUCUUCUGCUGACUCAUCUAUUACUGCUGACUCAUCUAUUACUGCUGAUUCUAAUGCUCCUGACUCCUUCGUAAGCGCAACUUCUAACUCCAUUCCGUUAACGAGCGGGUGCCUUAGGGAGUUGGGGGUAUUGUUUGUAUAUAAUGGGGUAGGUCAUAUUCAUGGAUUCUAUGAGAGAUGGAUUCAAUGAUUCAAGUGUAGAGUUUCUAGAGUAGAGAAGUCAAGUUAGUUAUAGUCAGUAAAUAUGUAGUUGUAAGUUAGUUAUAGUCAGUAGAUAUGUAGUUGUAAGUUAGUUAUAGUCAGUGUAGUUAAUCAAUUAUGGAAUCAGGUAACAACCUAUAUAUGGGAAUUCUAGUUUCUGGGUGCCUCUAUUCGUUCUGAAGCUGCCGUUAGCGAGUUAAUGGAAAGUCAGGAGUCAGGCUACUUUCUAAUAACUAAAAGAAAGCAUCGUCAAUGAUAUAUGUGCGUGGAUAUGUUCACUAUUGAUUCAAUUGAGAAGAAAGAGUGCACCCCAGUGAAAGGCUAACAGGGAAAGAAAACAUUCUAUUCUUUGUCCUCUCAGAGCUAAUUCCAUAGCUGUGGACUAACUCGCCACGGGAAAGCUAGCCAUGAGUUAAUGUUCUAAGCCCUAUGAAUGAAUGUGCAUUUGAUUCCGAAAGACCAGAUGAAAUAGCUCCUCCUUUCCUUCUAUUGCAGCAACAGCACUUUAGAGAGAACACCUUAAGCUCCUCUCUGCACUAAGCCAAACUGGAGACAUAUUAAUGUGCACAGGCAAUUCGAAAAAGCAUUCUCCUACAGUUACUAGUCCUAGCAAAGAGCGGCACCAUCUAUUCUAGCAAACCCAGAGGGGCAGCAAGAACAAGAGGCUUUUUGAAGAGAUUGUGUUUCACUACAUACAAGAAAUGCAGAUUCUGAUUGAAAACCACAUCUUCCUCUGUUGGGCUCGAGUUGCAUAAGCCUGAUUACGGGGCAUCCCAUCCGCCCGGAGUGGCUUCUGAUUCCAUAGCUAACUAAGCCCUUCGUGGGAAAGAAGAGAGAGCCUUUGAUAUGAGUCUCACAGCUCCUUAAGAACACUUGCUACCGUGGCCUAAAUGCGUAGCACCUUCUUUCUCCGCUUUCAUUGAAAUCGCAUGAAACCCCGUAUUUGAUUCCUAAACAGCUAAGAGAUAGGAGAGCCAAAUUCCCCAUUAUCGAUUGAGCAAGCAGAGGAACAAGCUUUAGUUCAGAAAGAUUCCCCAUUAUCGAUUGAGCAAGCAGAGGAACAAGCUUUAGUUAAUAAUCUAUAGUAUAGUACUUGAGUGGGGAACCGACCCUAUACACAUUACAUUCAGGACAGAGGCAUAGGCACCGUGAAUAAGCGUACCCAGAACAGGAAAGAGAGACAGAGGAGUUUCGUUAUGAUUUCAUAAUGUGUAAGCAGUUUUGUUACCUCUUUCUAUAAAGUGUCCCUAAGCAGUAAUCUAUAUUGAUUUGAUUAGUUGAGUCUCAUUGGGUGCUUUUGUUGUCUACAAUAGAAUAAAGAAUGCUUAGCCCACGUAGCUUCUAACACUUACUGAGUGAAACGUGUGAGAGAAUCGGCGUAGCUUGUUCGUUCGGUUGAAAGAUGUUGUAGGCCAGGCCACGCAGCCAAGAAGAAAUGUAAAGAACGAGAGUUGUUGAAACUAGCAUAUUGGAAGAUCAAUCGGCUUAAAUAACCAUGAGCAGCUACAAUACUCUAUUGUAAAGUCUCUUCCUCUUUACCGAAUCAGUCACUUGCUAACGCGGAUUCGUUUUCAGUGAUUUCCCUGAUGAAACAAGAGUGGACCAAGGAACCAUGCAUAGUACUAGGGCCGAAUACACCAGAGCUACACCUAACAUGUGAAAUAGAUGCAUAAGGAUGUUGUGUUCUGCCAGUAAUACAAUCAUGAAGUAGAAAGUACCAGAUAUUCCAAAAGGCAUACCAUCUGUAUUCCUAAAGGCAUAUCGUCAGAGAAACAUCCUUGACUAAUAGAAUCAAUAGGGUCGAUCAAGAAAACUGCAGUAGCAACGAGCAUCAUAUGCAACAGCAAUCCAAGGACGCAUACCUAUAUUGAAACGGCAACUCAGGACCCAUGUAAUAAGCUACACCAAGUCAUAAGUGUCAAACAAUUAGCUUCUACGGGACCGCCAUUGUAGAACCACUCAACACAGAUGCAGCUUGCUUCCCGGAUAGGGUCGUCAACCUAUAGCUGUCAAAGUCGGAAUAAUAGCACUAACUAACCAGAGAGAAGAAUAUUUCUAUGAAAGGUAUAGAACGAGAAACAGGUUAACGAAUACCAUCAAUCAAUAUAUACAGGAGGAGAGCAGCAAUGAAGGCUAUCUUCAAUACAACGGUUGCGUUGCGGUCAAUAAGGUAGGGAUCAUCAAAACACCGAACCACCCAAUGAAUGUAAAGACGGUUUUCAAUGUGCGUAGCAGAAGCGACCCACUUUCGCGUCUCUCUAAAAUGGCAGUCAUGGUAAGAUCUUGGUUUAUUCCAUUAUUAAGGACUCCCAAGCACACGUAUUAACUAUAACUAGAAUGAGAUAGAUAAUAGAAAGCGCUUGUUAUUUAACAGUAUAGCAUGGCUUAUAUGGCAAUGUCAACCAAUCAAUCUUUCUUUCACAGUUUGUAGUAUGUGUUGCUCGGGACUCGAACCCUGAACUAGUCGGAUGGCUAAUUGGAGCUUUUCACAAUAGAGGAAUCAAUCUCUUCCCUCCCCAAACCAACCGUGCAUUUUGUCAUUGCACACGACUAUCCCUAAGCAAAGUAUACAUAUCAAAACCAUCCCGAUCUCCAAUUCAUAAAGUAUCUGAAUUUAUACUACUCAGUGGAUUCAACCACUACACUACUUACAUGAGCAUUUCAUAAUCAGAAUUAGUUCAUAUUUGGAUCUCUUGAUUUAGAUACUAGUUGCAGCGAGAAUGGAAUUUCCACAAUUACUACAUUACCUUCUGAUAUUAGAUUCAAAUGGGAAUCAAAAGAAUUGUUGUGCCCAACCGGCUAGGGGUAAGAAUCAUUAACCGAGAGAAGAAAUCAUAUCAUUUUGUUGAUACAUUCGCGUUUCACAAGUAAGGAACUAGAUUUAUUAACACCCAACUCAAUUAACGGGUUCAUCAAAAUGGGAACUAUGGAAACUGUGAUCAUAAGCAAAUACGUAAAUAUACUCCUGAAAAACGAAUGGAUAUAUAGGGUGUUGCCGAGAUCUCUCCUUUUCCAAAUAUCCGAGUCAUUCUUCCAUUGACAUUUCCACUUUAAGCGGGGGUAGGAAGCUUUUCUUGGGUUCUCAAAUGAUACAUAGUGCAAUAUGGUGAAAACUGGGUGAAGUCAGAGAUAGAGGCAGCUACGGGACUAUAUCCCAUAUCCUCAGUGACCGGUGCUUACAAAGCGCUUAUUAAUAAAAGGAAAACCUUGUUGAGUUCGAUUUCUUAUUCGCAUAUUACGGAAAAGAAGUAGCCCCACUUUCAAGUUACUACUGCCCAUUCAAUAUCACAAUCUAUAGUCUAGUUACAGAUCGAGAUGAAUAUGCUUCUAUAACCCUUAGAUCCAUGGGCUCGAAGUAAGACAAUCGUAGGACUGCUUGCUUCUCUUGCCACUUCAGCCUUAAGUCAAAUGCUUCUUCACUAUCCACAGCCACUUCUGAUCUUUCUUGAGUCAAUCCGUUAUAGGCCUCUGGAAUAAUAUCCGAUCCUAGUUAGCCCAUAGAAAAAAGAGCUUCACUCAGACACUUGGGUCCAAUCCACAAUGGCCUUAACUUCCUUCCCAGCCAUUCGAAUCCUUCCCAGCCAUUCAGAACCUGUUGCUCAAGGCCUGUCGGGCAAAGUCACUGAUUAUUUGUUACAUAUAGAUUGUGCUCCCUUAACCGAGCUUUCCUAAGGUGGUACAAGUCAUCCUAUAGGGAACUAACUAUGGACAAGAAUGUAAUAAAGAUAGACAAACAAUAAGAAAGCGAUCAAUAAA